UCUUCUUCUUCUUCUUCUUCCUUCUUCCUAGUAAAAACUUCAUUUCAACAUAGAUUUCUGCAGACAGAUCUUAACAGGAAACUAUCUAUGCCUCAUAUACAACAAAUCACAAUGAAUAAUAAAACCCAGAAACAAAGAAAAGCACUUAUUUCCCAAAUGGUAUUUCCAACCUAACAGGUCUAUAGAAAAACAAAGCUGAACCAGCUCUCAGGGUACCAAGGACAUCACUUGCAAUGUUCCCAUGUCAGGAAGGUGCAAUCAGUCGAACCCACUCACUGAUGUUACUUGCUGUGCAAAGGAAGUCUUUGAAGGGGAAAAGGGUUUCUAAUUCUAUUCCAUCCAACAGAUUCUCAGUGUAGUCUCCACUCACUCACUGCCCUAAUGAGCAGCUCACCGUUUGAAUGGCACAUGUCACCCUCAGAACUUUCCAGAUCUAUUCCAUUUCCUAAGGAGGACCCAGCAUGUCCACUUCUCGGACAGAAAGUCAGUCUGCUUACUCACACAGCACACACUGACGUCCCAUCUGCCAUGUGCCAGAAACCGACAGACGUGAAGAAUACAAAUCCCCUGCCUUGAGCUGGGUAGACAGAGGAGCAUCACAAGUAACUAUCUUUUGUGACACAUUGUGACUGGAGGUGGCCUGUCUGAAGUGAUGCCGUCCCUUAAGGCCAGAACAUGAGUAAGCCUGUAGCCGACAGGGCUUUGUGGCCUACCUGACAUGUUCUUUCAGUGUCUGUAUCACAACGGAAAAGGAUCCCCACAAGAACAACCACUCUGAAGAAACUGUGUGGUCAGGAGAAGCUAAAGAUCUCACACCCGAAAGCUCACCAUCUCUGGCCAUCUGAAUGCAGAAACUGAGACCGGGGCUGCCUCAGAAGAAGUCCUUCCCACUCCCCCAGUAUCAAACCUGCACCAGCAGCUCUUCAAAGGUCUGCAUCCUGUGAGGCUGGUAUGCCUGAUCAGUCACUUCCGCCUCAGAGUCACAUCUCGGUAAAGACUUGGCAUUGGUGAAAACACGGAGUGGAGUGCCAUACUCUCAGCACGGAAGGCUGGGGUAAGCAGAUGCCAAGGUCAGAGGAUCUCAGUAACCCACAUAACAGCUAAAACUGUGACUCCAGUUCCAGAGGCUCUGACGCCAUCUUUUAGACUCCUCAGACACUGCACAGAUGUGGUGCACAGACAUACAUGCAGCGCUGGGGACUGACUCCAGGCAAUUUGCCCAUGAGGUUCCCACAGACCACCAGAAAACAGACGGAGUUUCUUCUACCUUUCAUUCCUUCAAAGAUGGCUGCUACCCACCCCAAGCCAAAGCCCCACCAUCUCGCUUCCUACAGUCACCCAGACGUUUCCAGUUCAUGAUUUCAGAUGCCUGAAAAUGGGAAUUUGUGGUAUGCAGGUUACCCGGCUCCUCCAGCCUGCGCGAGCAAACUACUUUCCAUGGUAACAACAAUGGCAAACUAAGACUCACAGCAGCCAACAGGACAUCCAAGACACGACUGACUGAGUAAUGCUUUCUCAUUUGCUCGGGGUAUCUUAGGUUGCUUUCUAAGACACACUAUGAAACUAUGAAACCUUUGGCUGCACGUCCCACUCACAAAAUCCUGCCAGUGUGCUCAGAAUAUGUAAAUAGUUAUAUAUUACAUACAGUACCAUUGAUCUAAUUAUACAUCUCAGAAAACUUACACAAAAAUAGAAUGUUUAAAAGAGAAGAGAUUUGGGUGCAAAAUGGCCCCAUGGGAUAAAAGUGUGAGAUGCCAAGCUAGACGACCUGAGCUCUGUACUCGGUGCCCAUAUGUUGGAAAGAGAGACUAGACUGAUCUCUAAAAGCUGUCCUCUGACUUCCACACACAUGC